GUCCCGGGCUCACAUCCCCCGCCCCUCCGGCCGCCCCAGCGACCGACCCCGGCUCUUCCUCCCCCUCCCGCGCCCCGGGCCGGGGUCGCUCUGCAAUUUUGAAACAAACGGCUGGAACCCCAAAGCCACACCUGCUCCCAAGUGGACUGGGGGGGGUCCCAAACAGCCGAGCCGAGCGGACGACCUUCACCUCAGCCCCUGGGCGCCCGCAGCGCCCGCCCGAAGCUCACGCGGGCCGGGGCGGCCUUGGGGGGGGGGGGGGCGUUGCCCCGAGGUUCCAGCUUUUCGCAGCCGGUGCGCGGACUUGGGUGACUGGGGUCGGAUGGAGUCUUCUCGGACCCGAGGGCAGCGAGGGCGGCCGGAGGGGACGCUGGUCCGGAAUGUCCCGACCCCGGGGUUGCGCACGCCCGGCUCCGGGAGCUCCAGAUACUUCUCAUUUCGCCCAAGAGGAGGACAGAGACAGGACAGUGAAGGAAGUUCAUUCGCGGCUCAGACAAACCCAGGCCAUGGUUUCCUAUGCGGUCACGUCUGCCCGGCACAUCUCCGAUCAAGUGUCCAGAGGCAGGCAGAGGGGCCUCUCCUCUUGCCCCCUCGCCUCUCACUGGCCAAGUGCCCAUUGCUGGCGAGGACGGGGCCACCUCGAUGCCUUGGCUUUGAGGAGGUCCACGUGUUGCCUCAGCCGGAUUUUGGCUGCCUGGGCAGAAGGUAGGGGACCCCAUCGUCACCUUGCUGUAAUGCCUCAACCCCAAGGAAGGCAUCGGGACCAGUGGAGCCUCAGUUGAGCUGGAGGACGAUCCCAGAGCCGCUCGGAACCUCCGCAUCUUCCUCUGUACCACGGGCUGCCGGCACCCGCGGGCGGCUGUGAGGGGUACGCGGCUGUGUCCACACAAGGCACGGGUUGCACCAUUCGAACCUUCAGUCAGCGUGUGGUGAAUGUCAACUAUCACGAUUAGCAUUACCUCCUUUUCCCCCAAAGUCCUUCCUCUGGUGAAGCUACUCAAUGUGAACGUUUAAACGUUUAACAAUGUUUUUGAUACAAUGUGCUGCUUCAGACCCUAAGGAUCUCAGGUAAGGGUUUGCAGACCUGUGUAUGUUUUUCACAAGUAUUACAAAUGUAAAUGAGAUAAAACUUUACCUUUUUCUGGAAUCUUUGAGCGAUAUUUGUACUUUUUUUCCCAUUUCAUUUUCUUCUGAUUUUUUAAUCGUGGUAAAAUACACACAACAGAAACCUCACUGUCUAAACCAUGGAAACGUACAUUUCAGUGUAAUGGACUGACGUGCAGCUGUGACUACCAUCCAUCCGCCCCUGUAAUCGCUUCCGUCUUGGAAAACUGAACCUCUCUGCCCACUGACACUAGCUCCCGGCUCCCCCAGCCCCUGGCACCACCACAGGAUGCCGGAAGAACACCAUCCUCCCCCUCUGGGGGAGGCAGACACUGUUCUGAGAGCGGGAGGCGGAAACGCUCCAGUGGGAAGCCGGCCCUUUACCAGACAAAGGGCUCAGAGGGAGCAAUCCGCCUCCGCUGCCGACUCCACUCUUCU